UACGUAGGGGGCGAGCGUUGUCCGGAUUUAUUGGGCGUAAAGAGCGUGUAGGCGGUUCGGUAAGUCUGUCGUGAAAUCCUGAGGCUCAACCUCGGACGUGCGAUGGAUACUGCCGGGCUAGAGGAUGGUAGAGGCGAGUGGAAUUCCCGGUGUAGCGGUGAAAUGCGUAGAUAUCGGAAGGAACAUCAGUGGCGAAAGCGGCUUCCUGGACCAGUACCGACGUUCAGGCACGAAAGCGUGGGGAGCAAACAGG
rnacentral:rRNA from 1 species